rnacentral:lncRNA from 1 species
GGGACAUGUGUGUUUGUGUGUCCUUAUUUACCUGGUGCAACUUGGAGAGGAGGGUUAUCUGCCCUCACACAGAGGGUCACAUAUUCCCUACAUGACAGUUGGACCAUCAAUGCUUCAGUAGCCCAGUCGGGACCUUUGUCUGGUUUGUGUGUUGACGAUGAAUCACAAUAUAAAGUUCAACUCCCACUGUUUAUCUGCAUGGGCUGCAUCUCAAUCUAACGCGGAAGACCGGCAGAGGCGAAUGUUUCAAUCUAACGCGGAGACUGUAAGAGGCGGAUGUUUCAAUCUAACGCGGAAGACCGGCAGAGGCGAAUGUUUCAAUCUAACGCGGAAGACCGGCAGAGGCGAAUGUUUCAAUCUAACGCGGAAGACCGGCAGAGGCGGAUGUUUCAAUCUAACGCGGAAGACCGGCAGAGGCGAAUGUUUCAUGUUUCAAUCUAACGCGGAAGACCGGCAGAGGCGAAUGUUUCAAUCUAACGCGGAAGACCGACAGAGGCGGAUGUUUCAAUCUAACGUGGAAGACCGGCAGAGGCGAAUGUUUCAAUCUAAUGCGGAAGGCCGACAGAGGCGGAUGUUUCAAUCUAACGCGGGAAGACCGACAGAGACGGAUGUUUCAAUCUAACGUGGAAGGCCGACAGAGGCGGAUGUUUCAAUCUAAAGCGGAAGACCGACAGAGGUGGAUGUUUCAAUCUAAUGUGGAAGGCCGACAGAGGCGGAUGUUUCAGUCUAAAGUGGAAGACCGACAGAGGCGGAUGUUUCAAUCUAACGCGGAAGACCGACAGAGGCGGAAGUUUCAAUCUAACGCGGAAGACCGACAGAGGUGGAUGUUUCAAUCUAACGUGGAAGACCGACAGAGGUGGAUGUUUCAAUCUAACGCAGAAGACCGACAGAGGUGGAUGUUUCAAUCUAACGCGGAAGACCGACAGAGGUGGAUGUUUCAAUCUAACGUGGAAGGCCGACAGAGGCGGAUGUUUCAAUCUAACGCGGAAGACCGACAGAGGCAGAUGCGUUAGAUUGAAACAUCUGCCAAUAUCGGCCUGUCGCAUCUGAGGUGGAAGGUGGCCGAGUUACAGGGGUACUUGUCAGAUCAUGAGACAUCCUAAAAAUCGGUCUUCUCAUGAAAACGUCUGUAGCAUCCAAAUGCUACAAACUAAUGUGGAAAUGGGAGACUCUCACAAACACGAUGGGGUUCUCCGUUUUGCUUUACAACGCCAAUAAGUGUCACGGGACUCAUCUGAAGGUAACAUAUACAAACGAAUGGAAGUAAUAAGUAGUUUUCUGCCAACAAAAAUAUGUGUCUAAAAAAAACUAAAUUAUUUACAUGGGUUUCUUAUAUCUCCUAGAUACAGGACACACUUCAAAACCUUAUUCCUUAUGAUUUAUUGACAUCAAUAAGUUACCAUAGCUUUCACCUGGAUUCACCUGGCCAGUCUAUGUCAUGGAAAGAGCAGGUGUUCCUAAUGUUUUGUACACUCAGGAGAAAAGAGUGAUAAAAUAAAAUGGGGAAAAUAGAGAGAAGAAAUUUAGGAGAUGGAGUGAAGAGAAGGGUGGGGGGGUUGAGAGAGGGAUGGGUGCACAGCGUCCUUGUCACAGUAUUGUCUCUCCUCUCUUUUUCCCUCUCCUCCUCCUCUUUUUCACUUGUUUUUUCUGUAUGUUCUGCUCAAGCAUUGAUUCUACUGCCUCUUUUCCCUUCUUCAACUACACCCUGCAUCUGUCCCGAGACACUGAGACACACAGGGUACGGUAGCUGGCAACGUGUGCUCUGAGAAGAGACACACCCUGAACAGUGGAAGAAAGAGUGUUGUGCAGGUACUGAGAGCUGUUAGCUCGGUCCAGAGCGACAGAGACAGAAAGACAAACAGACAGACCGGAAUUGAGCCGAGCCGGGCUGAGCUGGACUGGGAUACUCUGGACUCUCCCAGAGCUCUCUUCAGCGACGGGCACAGGUAAACACACACCUUCAUGGUUCUCCCCUGUGUUCCAACCCCCUCAGAGUUCCAGAAUGGGUCUGUUUAUGGUAGCCUGGAGAGACUCAAAUAAAGAAAACAACUACUACUUCAGGGUUAUUGACAUAUUCCUAAAAGGUUGUGACUGGCAGCCUGGAUCAAUCUGCUGCACUUUAUUUUAGUAUUCCAAGACAGCCUGAGGGAGAGAUGAACUUCUGAGGAGAAAAAGAGCCAGAGAAAGAGUGUGUGUGUUUAUAAAGGUAUGAUGUGUUUAUAAAGGUAUGAUGUGUUUUAUAAAGGUAUGAUGUGUUUAUAAAGGUAUGAUGUGUUUAUAAAGGUAUGAUGUGUUUAUAAAGGUAUGAUGUGUUUAUAAAGGUAUGAUGUGUUUAUAAAGGUAUGAUGUGUUUUAUAAAGGUAUGAUGUGUUUUAUAAAGGUAUGAUGUGUUUGUAAAGGUAUGAUGUGUUUAUACAGGUAUGAUGUGUUUAUAAAGGUAUGAUGUGUUUAUAAAGGUAUGAUGUGUUUAUACAGGUAUGAUGUGUUUAUACAGGUAUGAUGUGUUUGUACAGGUAUGAUGUGUUUGUACAGGUAUGAUGUGCUUGUACAGGUAUGAUGUGUUUAUACAGGUAUGAUGUGUUUGUAGGAAAGCGAGAAGGAGAGAUAGAUGGGAAAGGGCAAGAUUGAGUUUUUUAUACACCAACCCAACUUCCACACACAUUACUUCAUCUCUGUCUCCUCUCCACAGCACAUCUCUGUCCAGCUCAUAGCCUGCUAUUACAGCAGGGAGGCUGUGUGAUUUUGGUUUUCCUGUUGUGUCAUUAAACUGU